GCAAGAGUUUAAUGACUACCCUGAGCAUAAAUCGAAUUAUGUUUCUAAUACAGGGCUCUCCAAACUAGGCAACUUUUAAGACUUGUGGGCUUCACCUUGUUGGUGAGGAACUCUGGGCACUGAAGUCCACAAGUCUUUUUAAAAGUUGCCUAGUUUGGAGAUCCUCCCUCCCUGCUCUAGUAAGAUCCUGUACUAAGCCAAGGGGGUUGCAAUAGAUCAGGGGGUCUCCAACCUUGGUCCCUUUAAGACUUGUUGACUUCAACUCCCAGAGUUCUGGGAUUCUGGGAGUUGAAGUCCACAAGUCUUAAAGGGACCAAGGUUGGAAACCCCUGCAAUAGAUGAUCUCUCCAUGUUCCUUCCAAUUUUAUGAUUUUGGGAAGCUGGAAAAACAAACGGGUUUGAAACUUAAAACACUACACUACUAACCAGAGCAUAUAAAACAUUUGCUAGACCAAUUCUAGAAUACAGCUCGCCUAUCUGGAACCCUCACCACAUUUCUGACAUCAAUAGAAUUGAGCGUGUCCAGAAAUAUUUUACAAGAAGAGUUCUUCAAUCCUCUGAAAACAACAAAAUACCUUAUCCCACCAGAUUUGAAAUCCUAGGCUUAGAAAACUUAGAACUCCGUUGCCUUCGACAAGACCUAAAUUUAACUCAUAGAAUCAUCUAUUGCAGUGGUUCCCAACCUUUUCUUGUUUGAGGCACAACCUUUUCUUGUUUGAGGCACCCUUGGAAAGCCUUUCAAAAGUUCCCGGCACCCUUAUAAGGAAAUAGAUAUUUAAAAUCUCCGUAGCUCAAAAGUUCCCGGCACCCUCAAAAGAUCUCACGGCACCCCUUAGUGCCGCGGCACACUGGUUGGGAACCACUGAUCUAUUGUAAUGUCCUUCCUGUUAAAGACUACUUCAGCUUCAAUUGCAAUAAUACAAGAGCAACCAAUAGAUUUAAACUUAAUGUUAACCGCUUUAAUCUAGAUUGCAGAAAAUAUGACUUCUGUAACAGAAUCAUCAGUGCUUGGAACACUUUACCUGACUCUGUGGUCUCUUCCCAUAAUCCCAAAAGCUUUAACCAAAAACUUUCUAUUGACCUCACCCCAUUCCUAAGAGGACCAUAAGGGGCGUGCAUAAGAGCACAAACGUGCCUACCGUUCCUGUCCUAUUGUUUUUCUUUUUUCUUCUUCCUAUAUAUAUAUAUGCUUAUACCUCCUAAUAUUUCCUCAUAUAUAUGUUUAUAGACUAUAUAAUCUUUUUGUGUGAUGCUUAUAUAUAUUGUUCUGAAAAAAUAAAUAAAUAAAAAUAAAUAAAUUGGUAGCGACACGGUUACUAACUGCAGCAUGUUAGUAGCAGAGGCUGCACCGUGUCUCUGAUGCGAGUCUGCACAGGCAAGAUUUGUCUCUGCAACCGGUUUUACUGGUUUCCCUUUGAGGAAGGGGAAAGAAAUAGGCAAGUUGAUUCACAAUCCGAAGGAAGAAUGGCUUCAGCACCCAUGCUAAGAGGGAACCUUUCCACAGACGGAAGCCAGAUCGUAUGGGAAAACAGCAGAGCGAUCCGGCUAAGGCUCAUGCAAGAGGCUCUGAAGUCCAAGUCAGGAUGCGGACAGUGACCUAGAAAUCCUUCUGUCACUUAGCAGCUAAGUACAGUAGUCCUCGAUUUACAACAGGUCAUUAAGUGACCGUUCAAAGUUACAAGGGCACUGAAAAAAGUGACUUACGACCGUUUUUCACUUCAUAACCACUGCAGCCUCCCCUGGGUCACCUGAUCAAAAGUCAAGUGCUUGGCAGCCGACUCAUCCCGGGGUCACGUGAUCCCCUUUUGCGAUCUUCUCACAAGCAAAGUCAAUGGGGAAGCUGGAAUCACUUAGCAACCGUGUGACUGACUUCAACACCUGCAGUGAUUCACUUAACAACCAUGGCAAGACUGAUUGUAAAAUGGGCAAAAUUCACUUCAGUCUCAUUUAGCAACAGAGAUUUUGGGCUCAAUUGUCGUCGUAAGAUGAGGAUUACCUGCACCUGCAGGACCAACUAUCCUAUGCAGAAUCAACCCACCCAUUGUGGGUACAGGCAGUCCUCGACUUAUGGCCCCAAACUGAGCCCGAAAUGUCCAUUGCUGGCAAGACAGCUGUUAAGUGAGCUCUGCCUCAUUUUAGGACCUUUCUUGCCAGUUGUUAAGCUAAUCACUGUAGUUAAAAGUUCGUAACGUGGCUGUUAAUUAAUUUGGCUUCUCCGUCAACUGGUCAGGAGGUCAUAAAGGGAAUCACAUGACCACAGGACAGAGGUGGGUUUUACACCGGUUGGCUGUGCACUGAAAACGUGAGGUUAUGCUUUGCUCGCGCGCGUGGCUUGCACAUGAGCACAGCUUAGAAAAUGUGGCUAAGAAGGACAGGUGGGUGAGAUGGGUCCAGCAGUACCGGUUUGCCUGAACCAGCUGAAUAUGACACUGCAACCGUCAUGAAUGCGAGCUGGUUGCCAAGGGCCUGGGUUCUGAUCAGCUGUUCAUGGCACGAUGCAACAAUUCACAUGGGCUUGGCAAAAUACGGGUGUUAUUAAAAGAAGCAUCAAAAUAAAAUUAAUGACAACUACUGAAAAUCUGGUCUCCGAACACUUUCAUUUCAAGAAGUUCUAACCCCUGCAGGAUUGCUGCGUGGCUGCUCUCGUUCCCGACAUCCCAGGAGAAGGGGAUUAUUUCCAAGGGUGUGUGUGUGUGUGUGUUUGUACACUUAAUGCAACUAAACCAGAGGUCUUCAAACUUGGCAGCUUUAAGACUGGUGGACUUCAACUCUCAGAAUUCUCCAGCCAGCAUAGCUAUGCUGGCUGGAGAAUUCUGGGAGUUGAAGUCCACAGGUCUUAAAGCUGCCAAGUUUGGGGACCCCUGAACUAAACAAAGCAAUGUUGUGGUCAGGAGAGAUAGCAAAGUAACACAACAGCACCAUCUGCUGGAUCAGGGAUGGGCAUCUCUGGCCUUUAAAAUCUCUCCCCUUUAAGUCGAUUCUCAGCCAUCAUCCAGGUCGUGGUUGUCCCAAAGCGGUUUUUUCAGGAGGCAACUGGACUUCCUUGGUUUUUGGUUUUUGCUUCUCAUCCAAGAAGCUUCUUCAGCUCUGACCGGAUGGUGGGGAAUGGAAGGACCCUUUACUACCUGUGGACUUCAACUCCCAGAGUUCCUGAGCCCGCAGGAACUUUGGGAGUUGAAGUCCACGGGUCGUAAAGGGGGCAUAUGGAUGCCCAUCCAUAUAGAGGGAUGCUAGAUCCCUCGAGUGCAAUGAACUGGGAACGGUAGUUGGAUUUUUUAACAUCUGGCCAGACUCAAUGCAGCUGAAGCUAAGACUAAGUUGCCUACAAUAAUACUAAGAGCAUCUGCCAGAAAUAUGCAAGGAGAACAACUGGUAAGUAAGGUAAGUGGAAUUUCUUCCUACCCUUUGCAUUUGCCAGCGUCUCCUUCUCACGUCUUCCAGCCAAGCAUAAUGAAGUUUAAAGCUCAUGUAAGGAAGGAGCAUCUAGAAAUUCUUUCAAGACGUCCUAUUACAUCUUCCUACAUCUGUUACUAUGGGAAACCCUGGUGUGGAUUACUAUAAAAGACUAAUCCGGCUACUUUGCAAAUCUCAUUGGGCGAUUUCUGUUUAAGGGCAAGAGCGAUCAGCAGGUUACAGUAGUCCUCGACUUAUGACCACAACUGGCCCAGAAAAGGGGACCAACAACCAAGAUGCGAAGUUCCAACAGUUGGGCACCCUCCCUGGUCACGUGAACUCGGGAACCCAGUGGCAUUUAAGGCGAUCUGCAGUUUUGCCGUCAGGUGACUGUGUUCUACAAUAGUGUUGCCGAGAAACGGGCGCUUACAGGUGGUCCCCCACUUACAACAGUUCAUUUAGUGAACGUUCGAAGUUGCAACAGCACUGAAAAAAAUGGCAUUUAGAUCCUAAGAAAUUAUCGUGUAUGUAUCCAGAUAUGCAAGCAAAAUGUUGGAGAUGUAAUUGUGAUGACGCUACAUAUUUUCAUAUUUGGUGGACUUGUAAAAAUAGUAAGGCUUUUUGGAUAAGAAUUUGUGGAUUCUACAAAAUGUUCUGAAAAAGAAGAUAAAGUUCCUGCCACAAGUUUUUCUGCUGGGAAUUGUCACGGACUGUACAGUAAUUGAGACUAAGCUGAUUUUAAGUUUAAUAACGGCGGCAAGAUUACUGAUAGGACAGUAUUGGAAGAAAAAAGAAGUAUCUACAAUAGGAGAAUGGAUAUUGAAAGUUGCCAAUUUGGCUGAGAUGGCAAAAAUCUCAGCCUUUUUGAAAGACAAUACGCAAGAAAGAUAUUUAAGUGAAUGGAAAAAAUGGAUUGACUAUAUUCAAUACAGAUAUCAGACUAAGAGUUAUCAGACUGCCUUUGAAUGAUUAGGAUGUAUUAUUUUUGAUUGUUUUGGAGGAAGUUAGGAAUUGAUGAGAAUUGAAGUAUUAUAAUUUAGUUAGGAAGGGAAAAAUUUUUUAGUAUAUGUUUGCUUUAUUUUUACUAUACCUUGUGUUUGUUCCGGGAAGUCGGGGGGGGGGGGGUUUGGGAAGGGGGGGAGGAGGGGGGAAAGGGGGGAAAAUUUUUGUAAAACUUUUUCAGUAAAAAAAAAAGUUCAAACAGGAUGUUUUGAGAACAGUAACAACAAAUGGAGAUUGUUAUGCAGCUGCAUUCUUCUCCCAGCCAGGUGGCCUUGAAACAGUAUCUUUGGGGUUGGGGGGAGGGAGGGAUACAGCAGUUACUUUUGCUUUCCCCAAGCAGGCAUUACUUUCACCUCCCCCCCCCCACCAGCAUCCCCCCCUUCCGCCCUCCCCACAGUUCAUGGCAGAUUGCCACUGCAGAAGCGAGAGUGAGGUGGCAACUGACAGAUUCACUUAAUUGUGUUCCUCACGUAACAACUGCAGUGAUUCACUGAACAACCACGGCAAGGAUGGUUGUACAGUAGGCAAAAUUCACUUAAUAGCUGUCUUGCUUAGCAACAGAAGUUUUGGGCUCAAUUGUGAUUGCAAGUCAAGGACUUCCUGUGUUUCUGGUUUUCGGCAAAACCGCACCCCUUAGCUUCAAUGGCCACAGAGAUUUGCUUAAAACCGCUGCAAAACAAAGUCAUAAAACCCGAUGGAUCGCUUGUUAUGACAUGCAACUGUAACGGGAGGCCUCCAUUAUGAUCAUAUGUCGAGGACUGCCUGUUUGCUGCACAACUUUGGUGGGAAGGAAAAGAAAACCAUGGGACAAUCCUUAAUCCAGCCAUGGGGCUGGCAGGCAAGCCUGAAAAAAAGAAGCCCAUAGAAAAGGAUCAUAGUUGCCUCUGCAUGUUUUUCUCCCCAUAGGUAAACGUGAUCUUGAAUGCUUUUUACUAACUGUAAAAGUGCAGCUUUGACCUCGCGCAGAUGCCUUCAGGGCCAAACCACUUAACGGAGCUGCAACAAAUUAGAAACGGGUCAGGUGCCUCCUGCCAUCUCUCCUGAGCUGGCUUUGUUUCCUCUUGGUUUUAUUCAUCUUACAAGUAUUUUUUUUAUUUCUUUUAUUUAUUGAACUCUUGUGCCACCCAUCUGGCUCACUAAGUAACUCCGGAUGGCUUAUAAGCUAUGAAACAAAUAAAAAGUAAUUAAGACGUUAAAGCAUUCGUUACUAAAUAGAUUAGAAUAAUGUUAAGCUUACGGUUCCUUUACUUGCUCUCACCCUUCAAGAAUGAAGGCAGACACAAGUGACUUUUUAUGAUGAUCCCCACAGCGAUGGCCAGUUACAUAACCCUUGUAGAAAGUCUUGUGAAAGUCAAGUUUAAGUAUCAGGCUACGUCCAUGCUCUUUACCUGGGGCAGCCCUUGGAGGCAACCAGAAGCUUUAAAGGGCUCCUUAGUCUAAUAGCUGGAGUGCAGAGAAUGUGGUUUAAGGCUCUCCUAUGACUUUCCAGGGUACAGUGCAGGGCACUCUCGGGCACCGCCCUGGUCCUUGCGGGAUCCGUGGCUUUCCUCCAAACUCCCUCCACUGCUGUUUUAGCUCCCCUGGGUCACCGAUGAAGCUCCACCCGGGAUUUUCUUCGCCCUGUGUAACUUUAGGCAGCUUCUCUUGCAAGUAUUCUUCCCUUUUAUCUUUUGCAAGGUUUCUACAAACCCAGCCACCUUAAAGCACCUACCCAAGCACACACACAACCAUGCACGCAGUUUUAUAUAGAUACACAUAUAUCCAUAUCCACAUAAUUAUAAUCACCCACAUAAUUAUAUAUAUACUUAUCAUAAUACACAUAAUUAUAUUAAUUAUAUAUCAUAUAUGCAGUUAUUAUACACCCGCACAUACACACAUUAUGCACCCACACGCAUUUACAAACUUAGAUAUUUAGAUAAGUUGUGAAUCCUCCAACACUGGAAAAAUUUAAGAAAUUUAAGAAAAUGUUGGAUAACCAUUUGUCUGAAAUGGUGUAGGGUUUCCUGCCUGGGCAGGGGGUUGGACUAGAAGGCCUCCAAGGUCCCGUCCAACUCUGUUGUUAUUAUUAUAUUGUUUGUGUAUACGUGUAUGUAUGUAUGUGUAUGUAUGUAUGUAUGUGUGUAUUUAUGUAUGUAUGUAUGUAUUUGUGUGUAUAUAUAUGUCUUCCGUUAUUCGGGUUUUCUCCAGCGUAAAAUUGGAAGUGUCUUGGAGACGUUUCGACGAAAUCCCAUUCAUCAUUCCAAUUUUACGUGGGAGAAAACCCGAAUAACCAAAGACCUACAUACAAACACCCGCGAAAACCUCAGAAAACAAAUAUAUAUAUAUGUAUGGUUAUUCGGGUUUUCUCCCACGUAAAAUUGGAAGUGUCUUGGCAACGUUUCGA